CUCCCCCUCCCCCAUUUUUAAUGCAUUUUUACAUGGAACAAUAAAAAGAAAGAUCAACUUUAAAAUGGUAGAAGCACAAGGCUGUGGCAAGGAAGCACAUUUCAGGCAACAAAAUGUGUGUUGGCCAGUGUAACAGCAAGGCAAAACCUGCCACAUUCACAUGGAACAAUAACAAAAGAAAUAUCAAUUUUCAAAUGGUAAAAGCACAAAGUGAAGAGGCAGAAGUAUCAUUUUCUUCAUAUUGUACUCAUCUCAGACUCGCUCCCUCUCUUGCUUUCUCUUCCUCUCUCUCAUGAAGACAAACAUACCUGGAAUAAAAACCACACAAAAAACUAACCUUAAAGUCUCCUUAAAGUGGACAAAAGCAGACAGCAAUCUCCCACAGUGGACAAGAGCACGAAGCACAGACUGCUCCCUUAGCCCUGUAAGUUGGGGCUCUCAUAAGUUGAGGUUCCACUGUUUCUCUGUUUGAGCUGUUUGACUGCUGUUUACAAACUUUGGAAUUUUGACACGGAUGUACUAUCUGGCUUUUGACCUUGGACUAUUUUGACACACUCUUCUCCCAUUCUUCUUGCAGCAUCACUGAUCUCUCAGUAUCUGACUUGGCUUUGCUUGUUCAUUGGUGACAUACCUCUGAUUCUGACCAGCUGAGCUGUGCUUUACUGGACCUGCAUGUAAGUUUUUGCUGACGAAGAAUUUAGAUGAACCUGUUCUGGCAAAGCCUCUGCAAUGAGAGUACUUCAGAAGUAAACAUGGAAAUAUAAUGACAUAAAGUAGCUUACAUGUAAUAAAAAUAAAUAGUACUCUCGGAUGCAUGUCUGCUUCAGAGAUCUGCUUAAUUCAAUAGGACUUACUUCCAAGUGUGUGUAUAUGUAGCUUUAAAUUGCAAAUUAAUAAAGAUGAAUGUUCUAUAUUAAUUAAUAUGAAGUUCUAUAACACCAAAUCUAUAUAACAAACUCUUUGAAAGCUA